rnacentral:rRNA from 1 species
UGGGGGAUAUUGCACAAUGGGCGAAAGCCUGAUGCAGCGACGCCGCGUGAGGGAAGACGGUUUUCGGAUCGUAAAGCUCUGUUCUAAGAGAAAAACGGACACAAGAGGAAAUGCUUGUGUAGUGAUGGUAUCUUACCAGAAAGCCACGGCUAACUACGUGCCAGCAGCCGCGGUAAUACGUAGGUGGCAAGCGUUAUCCGGAAUUAUUGGGCGUAAAGCGCACGCAGGCGGCGUGACGCGUCAGAAGUGAAAUCCCCGGGCUCAACCUGGGAACUGCUUUUGAAACGGUCAUGCUUGAAUCAUGGAGAGGGUAGCGGAAUUCCGAGUGUAGAGGUGAAAUUCGUAGAUAUUCGGAAGAACACCGGUGGCGAAGGCGGCUACCUGGCCAUGUAUUGACGCUCAGGUGCGAAAGCGUGGGGAGCAAACA